rnacentral:lncRNA from 1 species
UUCGAAAAUUAAGGCGGCAAAUAAUAGAAAUACAUCGAGCUUGGGCUAAUGGGUUGCCGCCUCCUCCAGUUCCCACUGAUAAUCUGGAAUAUCUUUCUAGCUUGCCUCCGGUGUCACAUGCACAAUUUCUCAUUUUUGUUGAUAUGCCGCAACAUGCAUCAGGAUCGGCUCCGGGGCAACAAUAUCCAACCACUUUCAAUAUUCAUUUCCUCGCUCCUCAAUACAAAAUUACCACAUGCUCGGCUCCGCCUGCUAUUCAUGCUUUUGCAGCCCCACUUUCGUCUGAAGCUCCUGCUUUUAAUGUCAAUCCAACGGUUGUGAUUCCUCACUCUACAAGCGACCCUCUAUUGAAUAUUUUUAGUGAUUAGCAUUACGCUCCCGAGCCCACAUUUAAGUCGACUGGUCCUUAUGAUUUUCCUCAACC